AACGAACGCUGGCGGCAUGCCUAACACAUGCAAGUCGAACGAGACCUUCGGGUCCAGUGGCGCACGGGUGCGUAACGCGUGGGAAUCUGCCCUUGGGUUCGGAAUAACAGUUAGAAAUGACUGCUAAUACCGGAUAAUGUCUUCGGACCAAAGAUUUAUCGCCCAGGGAUGAGCCCGCGUAGGAUUAGCUAGUUGGUGAGGUAAAGGCUCACCAAGGCGACGAUCCUUAGCUGUCUGAGAGGAUGAUCAGCCACACUGGGACUGAGACACGGCCCAGACUCCUACGGGAGGCAGCAGUGGGGAAUAUUGGACAAUGGGCGAAAGCCUGAUCCAGCAAUGCCGCGUGAGUGAUGAAGGCCUUAGGGUUGUAAAGCUCUUUUACCCGGGAUGAUAAUGACAGUACCGGGAGAAUAAGCCCCGGCUAACUCCGUGCCAGCAGCCGCGGUAAU
rnacentral:rRNA from 1 species